rnacentral:rRNA from 1 species
UACAGAGGGUGCAAGCGUUAAUCGGAAUUACUGGGCGUAAAGCGUGCGUAGACGGUUACAUAAGUCGGGUGUGAAAUCCCCAGGCUUAACCUGGGAACUGCAUUCGAGACUGCAUUGCUAGAGUAUGGGAGAGGGAAGUGGAAUUUCCGGUGUAGCGGUGAAAUGCGUAGAUAUCGGGAAGGAACAUCAGUGGCGAAAGCGACUUCCUGGACCAAUACUGACGCUCAUGUGCGAAAGCGUGGGGAGCAAACAGG